UGACGCGAAGGCCUGCCGCAAGAAGGAAGGGGGAGACCGACGCGAAGAGGAGAGGAGAAAAAAGAUCUCAAUUGAUCGCCUCCGCCGCUACACAUCCACGCCGUCGAGAAGCACUUCGGCACCGCCGCGGCCGGUAGCGAAGACUUCGGCGGCCUCCUCUCCGCCGAUACCGACGACCUGAUUGCCCUCGAGUUCCCAACCUGUCCGCCCUAGAGAACCGGCGCCGCCACGGCCGGCAGUGACGACUUCGGCGGCCUCUUCUCCGCCGACACCGCCGACCAACUCGCCCUCGAGUUCCCCACCUGCAACCACUUCGAUGGGUUCCAGAAGGCGACCAAGGAGAUGGUGAGCAACAAGAAUGGGACGAACACGCUCUCCAUCUUCGACAAGGCGUCAUCGUCGCCGCCGACUCCCGGGCCAGCAUGGGCGGGUACACAUGGUUCGGUCUUGGUACUAUGUUGAUAAGCGAGGGUGCAAGGCUCAAGGGAAGCCGGUUCUCUAACUCUCUGUAUGCUUAUUGUAUGCUCAUGGUAUCUUGGAUGAGGGUUACAAAUUCAACGUGUCAGUUGAGGAAGCUGCUGAGUUAGCAUGGCGGGCGCGGGCUUUUAUCACGCAACCUUUCGUGAUGGAGCCAGUGGUUGUAUUCAUAUUGGUAUGCAUUCUAUUUCCUAGUAUCUAUCCUAAUAUUUGUUUUGUUCACUCGAUAAGCAUGAUACAUGCAUGCAUAUUUGUUAAACACCUUAUCAUUAUAUCUUCCUUUUGAAAUCGCAAACACAAUUGUUUAUUGAGUUGAAAUUAC